rnacentral:rRNA from 1 species
UACGUAGGGUGCGAGCGUUGUCCGGAAUUAUUGGGCGUAAAGAGCUCGUAGGCGGCCUGUCGCGUCUGCUGUGAAAGCCCGGGGCUCAACCCCGGGUCUGCAGUGGAUACGGGCAGGCUAGAGUCCGGCAGGGGAGACUGGAAUUCCUGGUGUAGCGGUGAAAUGCGCAGAUAUCAGGAGGAACACCGGUGGCGAAGGCGGGUCUCUGGGCCGGUACUGACGCUGAGGAGCGAAAGCGUGGGGAGCGAACAGG